UACAUUAUUAUCUAUGACCUUAGCUUUGUAUAUUUAUAUAACCUUAAUUAUUUUUAAUUCCAUUAAUACGAAGGAAUUUAAAGACAUGUUGCUUAAAUAUAGAUUUGUUCAUUUGUAAAAACUUCUGUGGCCUUCAGCUUUACUUUUAACAUUUUAUUAAUACAUUCUCUACUACUGUGAGACUAAAUUAUGUAAAUGUGAAUAUAUAGUUAUAGUGAAUAGUGUAGUCCUCAUAGAUAGUAGUUCUCAGUAGUCCUCAUUCCUUCAGAAAUACUCCAGAACGUAACAGUACUUGUAACAAGCGUGAAAUAAUUUUUCCCCUGAAAUCAUAUCGAGUGGCACCAUCAUAAAGUCAUAAAGGUCAAGGACAACAUUAAUUAAAGAAGACAAGGUUGAUUCUAUAGUAAGAAUUCUACCUGCAUUUUGUUUGUCCUUUUUUUCAACUUGAAGAAUCUUGUAGUUUAUUAUGGACUACAUAAACUCUGGACGUCGUAUGCUGUGAAGCAUAGCAGUACCCCAAAGGGUGCUCGUUCAUUUACCGCAUUGAAUUGCCAACAUCAUGAAUGCACUAUGCAGAAGUUAACACAACCAAAAGGACAAAAUCUGAUUCUUUACGUAUUGCCUCUGGAUUGAUGUUAGAUACAUAGAUGGCUCACAAAUACCACACGUCAUUAAUAUGGGUUGAAUUUUAUUAUAGGACUGACUGCAAGGACAUUACGAUUUAGAUGGGCUAACAAAUAAGAGAUUAGGAAUUUAUUUUGGCCGUAGCGAUGAAGUCAUUGGAUGUAUGCACUAGUAUCCUUUCUUAAUUUGGUUUGCUUUCCACACAUGUAAAUCAUGGCCGUUACUUUCUACAACUAAUUCAGAUUGGCCAACAAUUGAGAGAUUGGAACUGGUAUCCUUUGCUUACUGAAAAGAUAAGUCGUCUCCUACGUUGAUUUAGCUGUUUUCAUCUUGGAGGCUCUUGCAGUUAAUUAAGGAACAUUAGAAAAACUUCUCAUUUAUUCUGGAAAGUAGCUCUACGCAUGGUCCUAAAGAAAGCAUGAAAGUGCCUUUUCCAUUGGGAAGAAGACAGUGCAAAAAGGAUGUAUAACAAUGAAUUGAUUGUCUGACAAAUGAGAAGGAAUCGCAGUUAAUUUUUAUGCUACUGAAACAACCGAUGCUUUUGACGGCUUGCAACAUUAUGCAAUUAAUUUUUGCCGCAACAAUGAGAGGCAAUUUGCAGUUUUAUCCCUCCUCGAUUUGGUUUGCUAAUCACACUGGUAGACUUUAGAACGCCACUUUCUACAAUUAAUUAAGAUUGCCCAACAGAUGAGAGAAAAUUAAAGUUCAAUUAGAUCAUACUGAAACAGGCAAUGUCUACAUCGGUGUGGUCUUUUGUGGACUAUAUUCUUGAUCUUAUGUUUUCGUCUUCACCUUGCAACAUCAUGCAGUGAAUUUUUAACCUAUGAGUGAGAGGAACUGAAUUUUUGAGUUCCACUGAAACAACAAAUUGUCUGCAGGGAUAUCUCUUCCAGAUUUGGUUUGCUCAGCACACUGGUAGACUUUAGAACGCUACCUUCUAUAGUUAAUUAAGAUUAUACAACAAAUAAGAGAAUUGAUGUUCAGUUUGGUCAUAUUGAAACAGCCAAUUUCUACAUGGGUGUGGUCUUUCGUGGAUUAUAUUCCUGAUAGCUGUUUCGUCUUCACCUUGUAUCAUCAUGCAGUUAAUUUUCAACCCAUGAGUGAGAGCAACUGGAUAUUUAUUGGAAUUUCACUCAAAUAACAACUUCUCUGCUACGGUGUUCCUCCUGUAGUUAGUUUGCUUUUCACACCUGUAAACUUUGGAACGUUACGUUCUACAAUUAAUUAAGGUGAGAAUACUUGAUAUAAU